GAACCCGCUCCGGCGUGGUCGCACAGCGUUCGCACAGACCUGAGGAACGGUCCGCAGCGCAGACGGAGGAGGCGUGUCGUCUCCGAGUAAACAAGUCGACAGCAAAGCGAUUCACCUUUUGAACCAGCGUCCGAGAAGAAUUGAACUGGGCCAAGACGGCUUCAACCGCCACACUGACGGCACUGACGAGAGCUGGAGCAGAAACAAAAGUGCACCGUUAAAGUUAUUUUUUUUU